rnacentral:rRNA from 1 species
UACGUAGGGGGCAAGCGUUGUCCGGAAUCAUUGGGCGUAAAGCGCGCGUAGGCGGCCCGGUAAGUCCGUUGUGAAAGUCAAAGGCUCAACCUUUGAACGCCGAUGGAUACUGCCGGGCUAGAGUCCGGAAGAGGAGAGUGGAAUUCCUGGUGUAGCGGUGAAAUGCGUAGAUAUCGGAAGGAACACCAGUGGCGAAAGCGGCUUCCUGGUCCAGCACCGACGUUCAGGCACGAAAGCGUGGGGAGCAAACAGG